rnacentral:rRNA from 1 species
GGUUCUCUACCGAAAACUAUUUAGGUAGUGCCUCGUGUCUCACCUUCGGGGGUAGAGCACUGUCAUGGUUGGGGGGUCUAUUGCAGAUUACCCCGCCAUAGCAAACUCCGAAUACCGAAGAGUGCAAUCACGGGAGACAGACAUCGGGUGCUAACGUCCGGUGUCAAGAGGGAAACAACCCAGACCGCCAGCUAAGGUCCCCAAAUAUGGCUAAGUGGGAAACGAAGUGGGAAGG